rnacentral:snRNA from 1 species
AUGCUCACUUCAGCAGCACAUAUACUAAAAUUGGAAUGAUGCACAGAGAAGAUUAGCAUGGCCCCUGCGCAAGGGUGACACACAAAUUCAUGAAGUGUUUCAUAUUUUU